CAGUCGCCGCGGUAAUACGUAGGGUGCGAGCGUUGUCCGGAAUUAUUGGGCGUAAAGCGUGCGCAGGCGGUUCGUUAAGACAGAUGUGAAAUCCCCGGGCUUAACCUGGGAACUGCAUUUGUGACUGGCGAGCUAGAGUAUGGCAGAGGGGGGUAGAAUUCCACGUGUAGCAGUGAAAUGCGUAGAGAUGUGGAGGAAUACCGAUGGCGAAGGCAGCCCCCUGGGCCAAUACUGACGCUCAUGCACGAAAGCGUGGGGAGCAAACAGGAUUAGAUACCCCCGUAGUCCCUGUCUCUUAUAC
rnacentral:rRNA from 1 species